UUAGGAAUUUUGGGCAAUGGGCGCAAGCCUGACCCAGCAACGCCGCGUGGGUGACGAAGGCCUUCGGGUUGUAAAGCCCUUUUCUCGGGGAAGAGUAGUGACGGUACCCGUAGGAAGAAGCACCGGCUAACUACGUGCCGAGCAGCCGCGGUAAUACGUAGGGUGCAAGCGUUGCCCGGAUUUAUUGGGCGUAAAGGGCGCGUAGGCGGCUACGCACGUCCGUUGUGAAAUCGCCCGGCUCAACUGGGCGGGGUCGGCGGAUACGGCGUAGCUGGAGCAAGCUAGGGGGCAAUGGAAUUCCCGGUGUAGUGGUGGAAUGCGUUAGAUAUCGGGAGGAACACCAGUGGCGAAGGCGGUUGCCUGGGGCUUUGCUGACGCUGAUGCGCGAAAGCGUGGGGAGCGAUCCGGAUUAGAUACCCGGGUAGUCCACGCCGUAAACGAUGCGGACUAGGUGUCAGGGGGUAUCGACCCCCUGGCGCCGCAGCUAACGCACUAAGUCCGCCGCCUGGGGACUACGGCCGCAAGGCU
rnacentral:rRNA from 1 species